rnacentral:rRNA from 1 species
UACGUAGGGUGCGAGCGUUAAUCGGAAUUACUGGGCGUAAAGAGUGCGUAGGCGGGUCUUGAAGUCCGCUGUGAAAGCCCCGGGCUUAACCUGGGAAUGGCAGUGGAAACUGGGGGACUUGAAUUGAGCAGAGGGGGGUGGAAUGCCGCGUGUAGCAGUGAAAUGCGUAGAGAUGCGGCGGAACACCGAUGGCGAAGGCAGCCCCCUGGGCUUAAAUUGACGCUGAGGCACGAAAGCGUGGGGAGCAAACAGG